rnacentral:rRNA from 1 species
GACGAACGCUGGCGGCGUGCCUAAUACAUGCAAGUAGGACGCAGUUGCGAACGGGUGAGUAACGCGUAGGUAACUACCUAUUAGAGGGGGAUAACUAUUGGAAACGAUAGCUAAUACCGCAUACUAGUAGAUGGACCUGCGUUGUAUUAGCUAGUAGGUAGGGUAAUGGACUACCUAGGCAACGAUACAUAGCCGACCCUAGAGCGGGUUCGGCCCAACCGGGGAGUAGACACCGCCCCGACUCCUACCGGAAGGCGCCGGAGGGAAUUGUCGGGAAUGGGGGGAACCCCGACCGAGCAACGCCUGGUGAGUGAAGAAAGUUUUCGGAUCGUAAAGCUUCGUUGUUUAGGAAACGGUACUUAACCAGAAAGGGACGGCUAACUACGUGCCAGCAGCCGCGGUAAUAC